GAUGAACGCUAGCUACAGGCUUAACACAUGCAAGUCGAGGGGCAGCAUGACGAUAGCUUGCUAUUGUUGAUGGCGACCGGCGCACGGGUGAGUAACGCGUAUCCAACCUGCCCCUGUCCACCGGAUAACCCGUCGAAAGGCGGACUAACACGGUAUGCAGUCCACAGCAGACAUCUAACGUGGACGAAAUGUGAAGGAGAAGGAUGGGGAUGCGACUGAUUAGCUUGUUGGCGGGGUAACGGCCCACCAAGGCGAGGAUCAGUAGGGGUUCUGAGAGGAAGGGCCCCCACAUUGGAACUGCGACACGUGCCAAACUCCUACGGGAGGCAGCAGUGAGGAAUAUUGGUCAAUGGGCGAGAGCCUGAACCAGCCAAGUAGCGUGCAGGAAGACGGCCCUAUGGGUUGUAAACUGCUUUUAUACGGGGAUAAAGUGAGUCACGUGUGGCUUAUUGCAGGUACCGUAUGAAUAAGGACCGGCUAAUUCCGUGCCAGCCGCCGCCGUAA
rnacentral:rRNA from 1 species